GGGUGCAGGGGUAGACGCUCCUGCAGGUAUUGAGAUGGUCGGGCCGCCAUCC
rnacentral:ncRNA from 12 species